rnacentral:rRNA from 1 species
AGCGAACGUUAGCGGCGGGCCUAACACAUGCAAGUCGAACGCGAAAGGUCUUCGGACUGAGUAGAGUGGCGCACGGGUGAGUAACACGUAGGUAAUCUACCCUUUGGCGGGGGAUAACGUUCCGAAAGGAGCGCUAAUACCGCAUAAGACCACGGAGUCUCCGGACGCUGUGGGAAAAGGUGGCCUCUUCUUGAAAGCUACCACCGAAGGAUGAGCCUGCGUCCCAUCAGCUAGUUGGUAAGGUAAUGGCUUACCAAGGCGAAGACGGGUAGCUGGUUUGAGAGAAUGAUCAGCCACACUGGCACUGGAACACGGGCCAGACUCCUACGGGAGGCAGCAGUGAGGAAUAUUGGGCAAUGGGCGAAAGCCUGACCCAGCCACGCCGCGUGGGGGAUGAAGGUUUUCGGAUUGUAAACCCCUUUCAUGAGGAAAGAUAAAGUGGGUAACCACUUAGACGGUACCUCUUUAGCAAGCACCGGCUAACUCUGUGCCAGCAGCCGCGGUAAAGUCUAGC